CCCCAACCACAAGUUACUUAGUUCACAGGGGUUUUCACAAAGACAACAUCCUGGAAGUGGAAACUACAGCUUCCUUUACAGUAGCUCUUAUCCCUAAACCUAUGAAACCCUGAAACCCUGAAACCCACUGUUCCCAUGGCAUCCUGACAAGAGUCCACCACCUGCUGCUGCAGAACACCAACAGCCAGGGAAGCAGGGCCACAGAAACAAAACUCAUCUUCCCAUCUUCUCCAGGUCCUGACACCACUUGGAUAACCUCUAUCCAAACCCACUGCACUUGCUUAACAUCCAUUUCUUGAAAUGCUCAUGGAAAACACCUAACAGCUGCUUAUUGUCCUUUGGCUCAAUUCCCUCUGAGAGGGCUAGAGGACCCUUUUUGAUUUUCUGUUUUGUUUUGAACCCAGGACUUUCUACUAACAUACAUUCCAGGGCCUUUUCAAUUUGAGAUUCAAGAUAGGGUCUUGCUAAGUUGCCCCGGCUGGGCUCAAACUUGUGAUCCUCCUGCCUCAGACUCCUGUCAAAAUAAUGACAGGUGUGUCCAGAACUCAGAGCAUCCUUGGACCAUUUACUCACAAUGGCUGGGUAACUGACAAUAAGCCAGAGGCUAUUUGGUCAUCAGGCUGCAAGAAAACUAGCUGCCUUUGGACUGUAGCACAGGUAACCUCUGUCCCAAAGAUUUAAACAACCAGACUCAGUUCUACCUCUGCUGCCCCAAACCAAGAUCAAUGGAGUGAGGAAGUCAGCUGAGAGGCCCCAACAAACACCUCAGUAAGAGUUAAGCACAUCUGGCACCCAAACCAUGGUUUCACAACACCACUUUCCAAUAACCAGGCUCCCAGGAGAAAUGGCUGAUUGUAAGGCUGAGCCAAAAGUAUAUAAGGAGGCCGCGGAGCCCCGCAGACCCCGUGCUGGGCAGAGAAGCCGCACACUAUGGCUGCCACCCCACAGCGCGCGCAAUCCGGCGCAGGGGGACCACAGUUCGCGCGCCACAGCCCACAUGCCUCGGAGAUAGCUGGAACACAGGCAGGCGCGGGGUACGACGGGAUGCGUGGGCGGAGC